GUGCUUGCUUUGGCAGUAUGAAUACUAAAAUUGGAAUGAUACAGAGAAGAUAAGCAUGGCCUCUGUGCAAGGAUGACACACACAGUCAUGAAGUACUGUGUAUUUUU
ensembl:snRNA U6 U6 spliceosomal RNA